rnacentral:rRNA from 1 species
GAUCAUGGUUCAGGAUGAACGCUAGCGACAGGCCUAACACAUGCAAGUCGAGGGGCAGCGGAGAGGUAGCAAUACCUUUGCCGGCGACCGGCGCACGGGUGAGUAACACGUAUGCAAUCCACCUGUAACAGGGGGAUAACCCGGAGAAAUCCGGACUAAUACCCCAUAAUAUGGGCUCUCCGCAUGGAGGGGUCCGAUUAAAGAAGAGCAAUUUGGUUACUAGACGAGCAU